GCAGUGGUGGUUAACAGAUAGAACUCUUGCCUUCCAUGCAAGAGAACUGGGUUCAAUUCUGGGCUAAUGCA
rnacentral:tRNA from 1 species